rnacentral:rRNA from 1 species
GACGAACGCUGGCGGCGUGCCUAACACAUGCAAGUCGAGCGGAUGAGUGGAGCUUGCUCCAUGAUUCAGCGGCGGACGGGUGAGUAAUGCCUAGGAAUCUGCCUGGUAGUGGGGGACAACGUUUCGAAAGGAACGCUAAUACCGCAUACGUCCUACGGGAGAAAGUGGGGGAUCUUCGGACCUCACGCUACCAGAUGAGCCUAGGUCGGAUUAGCUAGUUGGUGAGGUAAAGGCUCACCAAGGCGACGAUCCGUAACUGGUCUGAGAGGAUGAUCAGUCACACUGGAACUGAGACACGGUCCAGACUCCUACGGGAGGCAGCAGUGGGGAAUAUUGGACAAUGGGCGAAAGCCUGAUCCAGCCAUGCCGCGUGUGUGAAGAAGGUCUUCGGAUUGUAAAGCACUUUAAGUUGGGAGGAAGGGCAGUAAGUUAAUACCUUGCUGUUUUGACGUUACCAACAGAAUAAGCACCGGCUAACUUCGUGCCAGCCGCCGCGGUAACAC